rnacentral:rRNA from 1 species
AUUGAACGCUGGCGGCAUGCUUUACACAUGCAAGUCGAACGGUAACAGGCCUUCGGGUGCUGACGAGUGGCGAACGGGUGAGUAAUGCAUCGGAACGUACCCAGAGGUGGGGGAUAACGCAGCGAAAGCUGUGCUAAUACCGCAUGUGAUCUGAGGAUGAAAGCGGGGGACCGAGCAGCAAUGUUUGGCCUCGCGCCUUUGGAGCGGCCGAUGUCGGAUUAGCUAGUUGGUGGGGUAAAGGCCUACCAAGGCGACGAUCCGUAGCUGGUCUGAGAGGACGGCCAGCCACACUGGGACUGAGACACGGCCCAGACUCCUACGGGAGGCAGCAGUGGGGAAUUUUGGACAAUGGGCGCAAGCCUGAUCCAGCAAUGCCGCGUGCGGGAAGAAGGCCUUCGGGUUGUAAACCGCUUUUGGCAGGAACGAAACGGUGUCCGCUAAUACCGGGCGCUAAUGACGGUACCUGCAGAAUAAGCACCGGCUAACUACGUG